rnacentral:rRNA from 1 species
UACGGGGGGGGCAAGCGUUGUUCGGAAUUACUGGGCGUAAAGGGCUCGUAGGCGGCCAACUAAGUCGGAUGUGAAAUCCCCAAGCUUAACUUGGGAACUGCAUCCGAUACUGGAUGGCUUGAAUCCGGGAGAGGGAUGCAGAAUUCCAGGUGUAGCGGUGAAAUGCGUAGAUAUCUGGAGGAAUACCGGUGGCGAAGGCGGCAUCCUGGACCGGCAUUGACGCUGAGGAGCGAAAGCUAGGGGAGCAAAAGGG